UACGUAGGAGGCGAGCGUUGUCCGGAAUUACUGGGUGUAAAGAGCGCGUAGGUGGGAGGCCAAGUCUGUGGUGAAAGCGCCCGGCUCAACUGGGCAUGGUCCAUGGAAACUGGUCACCUGGAGGACGGUAGAGGCGAGUGGAAUUCCCGGUGUAGUGGUGAAAUGCGCAGAUAUCAGGAGGAACACCGGUGGCGAAGGCGGGUCUCUGGACAGUUCCUGACACUGAGGCACGAAGGCCAGGGGAGCAAACGGG
rnacentral:rRNA from 1 species